GAUGAACGCUGGCGGCGUGCUUAACACAUGCAAGUCGAACGGGAAACCGUUUAUUGAAGCUUCGGCAGAUUUAGCUGGUUUCUAGUGGCGGACGGGGGAUUAACGCGUGGGUAACCUGCCUUAUACAGGGGGAUAACAACCAGAAAUGGUUGCUAAUACCGCAUCAGCUCACAGGACCGCAAGGUCCGGUGUGAACAACGCCGGUGGUAUAAGAUGGACCCGGGUUGGAUUAGCUAAUUGGCAGGGUAACGGCCUACCAAGGCGACGAUCCAUAGCCGGCCUGAGAGGGUGAACGGCCACAUCGGGAAUGAGACACGGCACAGACUCCUACGCCAGGAAGCAGUGGGGAAUAUUGCACAAUGGGGGAAACACUGAUGCAGCGACGCCGCGUGAAGGAAGCAGUAUCUAGGGAUGUAAACUUCUAUCAGCAGGGAAGAUAGUGACGGUACCUGACUAAGAAGCCCCGGCUAACUACGUG
rnacentral:rRNA from 1 species